CCUACGGGCGGCAGCAGUGGGGAAUAUUGCACAAUGGGGGCAACUCUGAUGCAGCGACGCCGCGUGAGCGAAGAAGUAUUUCGGUAUGUAAAGCUCUAUCAGCAGGGAAGAAAUAGCGACCUUUGGGUCGCCAGACGGUACCUGAUUAAGAAGCCCCGGCUAACUACGUGCCAGCAGCCGCGGUAAUACGUAGGGGGCAAGCGUUGUCCGGAUUUACUGGGUGUAAAGGGAGCGUAGACGGCAGCGCAAGUCUGAAGUGAAAUGCCGGGGCUUAACCCCGGAACUGCUUUGGAAACUGUGCAGCUAGAGUGCAGGAGAGGUAAGUGGAAUUCCUAGUGUAGCGGUGAAAUGCGUAGAUAUUAGGAGGAACACCAGUGGCGAAGGCGGCUUACUGGACUGUAGCUGACGUUGAGGCUCGAAAGCGUGGGGAGCAAACAGGAUUAGAUACCCGAGUAGUC
rnacentral:rRNA from 1 species